UACGGAGGGUGCAAGCGUUAUCCGGAUUCACUGGGUUUAAAGGGUGCGUAGGUGGCCGGGUAAGUCUGACGUGAAAUCUCCAAGCUCAACUUGGAAACUGCGUCGGAUACUAUCCGGCUAGAGGAUCGGAGGGGAGACUGGAAUACUUGGUGUAGCAGUGAAAUGCGUAGAUAUCAAGUGGAACACCAGUGGCGAAGGCGAGUCUCUGGACGAUUCCUGACACUGAGGCACGAAAGCCAGGGGAGCAAACGGG
rnacentral:rRNA from 1 species